CCUACGGGCGGCAGCAGUGAGGAAUAUUGGUCAAUGGACGAGAGUCUGAACCAGCCAAGUAGCGUGAAGGAUGACUGCCCUAUGGGUGGUAAACUUCUUUUAUAUGGGAAUAAAAUGUUCCACGUGUGGGAUUUUGUAUGUACCAUAUGAAUAAGGAUCGUCUAACUCCGUGCCAGCAGCCGCGGUAAUACGGAGGAUCCGAGCGUUAUCCGGAUUUAUUGGGUUUAAAGGGAGCGUAGGUGGAUUGUUAAGUCAGUUGUGAAAGUUUGCGGCUCAACCGUAAAAUUGCAGUUGAAACUGGCAGUCUUGAGUACAGUAGAGGUGGGCGGAAUUCGAGGUGUAGCGGUGAAAUGCUUAGAUAUCACGAAGAACUCCGAUUGCGAAGGCAGCUCACUGGACUGCAACUGACACUGAGGCUCGAAAGUGUGGGUAUCAAACAGGAUUAGAUACCCCUGUAGUC
rnacentral:rRNA from 1 species